UCCAGACUCCUACGGGAGGCAGCAGUGGGGGAUAUUGCACAAUGGGGGGAACCCUGAUGCAGCGACGCCGCGUGGGCGAGGGAGCGCCUCGGCGCGUAAAGCCCUUUCGGCGGGGGAGAACGAUGACGGUACCCGACGAAGAAGCACCGGCUAAAUACGUGCCAGCAGCCGCGGUAAUACGUAUGGUGCGAGCGUUGUCCGGAUUUACUGGGCGUGAAGGGGGCGCAGACGGCAGUGCAAGUCUGGAGUGAAAGCCCGGGGCCCAACCCCGGGACUGCUCUGGAAACUGUACGGCUAGAGUACGGGAGGGGCAGGCGGAAUUCCUAGUGUAGCGGUGAAAUGCGUAGAUAUUAGGAGGAACACCGGCGGCGAAGGCGGCCUGCUGGACCGAAACUGACGUUGAGGCUCGAAAGCGUGGGGAGCAAACAGGAUUAGAUACCCUCGUA
rnacentral:rRNA from 1 species